UCAGUGUAUAAGAAAAAUGCAGUCCCUACUUGUCUUUUGAAUCGAUACCAGUACGGAAAUCUACAGGCAAGAACUAAGAUAACUGCUGCUAGUUCUGAGCUACGAGGUAUGGAAGGUGGGGCUAAUUUCCGUACAUAAUGCAGCGUGUUCGAGGUCCAUAUCUUGUCGAGGCCUCGAGAUACAGAAUAGUGCAUCCAGUGGACCACAAUCUAGGAUUCCAGGCUCAAACUUACCAGUUUUCUUAGAGCUGACAGAUGGGUGAUGGGUCUAAUUUAUAUCAAUACCUUUCGACACUUGGCAUGUCAAUCGAUAGAUAGUGACUCAAAUAGCAAGGUGGCCGGACUAAAAACAAGGGUGGUUGGCAGACUCUCUUCCCUAAUCGAUGUUGUGUUGUGUUUUAGAGGUUGUCCAUUGGAUUUGAGGCCCUGUGCAUUUGUCACUACGCGAAAGAAGAGAAGAAGCACGGGAUGCAUGGCGGAUAAACCUGAUGGAAGAGACGUACUUACACGAGGCGGUGCUCCGACUGAAUUGGUGCAAUAAAGCCUGGCUUUAUCAACAAGUUGGCAUAUCUUUCAAAUGCGCUGGCAAAUCUCUUGUGGGACUUUAACCGGGAAUGCACCCUCACCGCCCCUCUUGUCGUUAUGGCUCUCCUGUUCAAAAUCCCAGAAAAACAUGCCCUCUUUCAUUAAUACCAUGUACCGUACGAGAAUGAUUUUGAUUACUACACAGCCAGUUCUAUCAUGUUUCGAUUGUUACCUGAUGCCUCUAACAACAGCUAGAUAAGGGUCACAGACAACUCCAAACUCUAUUCUGUAUGGUUUCCUGCCAGUUUUCUCCUUCUUGUUGUUUAAUCGCUGGCCCCUACCUUUUCCCAGUAAUUUUGAUCAACGGUCCAUCCUCAGCAACCCCGGCCCUCCCAUUCGUAACGAAUCUGUAUACGAGCCAUGGCAAUUGUUUGCUCCACGAAAGGCUCCAUGAAAGGGUGCCAUCAUGAUACAUCCCGUCCUUCAUUCAGUGCAGUUACCAGGAGUGAUGAUGCAGCAUCGGUUGUGAUUGGUAGAUGACAUCCGACUCUUUGAAUGCUUCAGCCUCUCGGCCCUCUACAACAACCGCCUUUGCCUUUGCUCCUGACCAGAACGGUCUGCCCAUUAUUAUUGAUCAGUGUCCCAUCAAUCACAAUCACAGGCAUGCACUUCUCCACAGCAAAAUUCAAUUAUUUAAUACGCGACAUAGAAAAAUCAUGAAAGUUAUUUUUAAUGUUUACGAGGUAAAAUUUGAUAAAUCCAUACUCUUUGAGAAUGUCUUUGGUGACAGUGCUCUUGCCAGCCCCCAUACCACCACCCAUAAGUAGCAGCACCGGACUUCUCUCACUGAAGUGCCCCCGGCACCAUGUCCUCCGUACAAGGUGAUUCCCCCCGGCCGAUUGCUUUCAUUUCCUCAACUAGAGUAGAAAAUGCCCUUGUAACCUUCAAGUCCUCGGUCACCCUCUCAAAUCUUUGUUUUCUGCCAAAAGCGAUAAAAAUUAAAACCAUGACGAUAAUAUAAAGUAUCCAUUCGAUUCCUAAAACCAUAAAGUUUGGUGUGGUAUAAAUGAAAAACCACGGCACCUCUGGCCCUUCAUAAAAGAGAAAGAAGAUGAGGCCAAGUGGAAGUGGUGAUUGAAAAAUAAAAAAAUGAGGCCAAGUAAUAUAAUAUUACAAGUCAUUGUCAUCAAACCCUUUGGGCUUCGGUUUCCUCACGGAUUCAACAUCCAUAACCUGCCAUCCAUACAGAAAAUUAGAGUAAAGAGCAUAAGACAACAAAACACAAAAAACAGAAAAUAAAAGGUACUGUUCCUUUUCUUUUUAUUGUUUGGUUCUGAAAUUGAUGAUAAACCUGACUGAUAAACAGAGAUGCUCUGCUCCAAUGGAAAUGCGAAAUACGUGAGGAUGCAUUUUUCAAAUUCCCCCAUCAGCUUCACGUACAGAGAAGAUUGUAACUCAGGUAGAUUAGCAAAAAAUCAUCAUAGAUGUUAUUUCUCACACCCUUCAGAUCUUUUCAGAUAAUCAUAAGCCAAUUUUGCAUAGCCGUGGACACUCAUCUGCAUCUGCAAAUCCCAUCUGCCUAGCUACAAAGACAGUAAAAUGAAAAAAUGGGUAAAAUUUCUUCUUUCUUGACUCUGAGAAAAAAACAUUAUUGUCAAGAAAAAGUAAUACAACUUGAACAGUUUAUAGUUACUUAAAUUAAUUUACCAACAUAAUCGGGGAAUCUUUCAAAUCCAAACGGCCAGAUUCUGUCCUGACGAAGCCUGGAAUGAUGUGCUGGUCUCUUUUAGCGUUUGAUUUUCUCCAAUAGCCGUGAGUCCAAGCAGCAGCGGCACCGAUGAAACCCACCAAGGAAGCGGCAAGAACUCCUGUCAAUUUGGCAUGGCUUAUUUUCUUACUAGAAAACGAUCAGACAGAGAGAUUACGCAGAGAAAGAAAAAAGAAGGCUUACUUGACUGCAUCUUGUUGAAGCUUAGAGGAGGCUUCACUGCAGAUUAGAAAUAGUUUGCCGGGCUUUAGAUGAUUUUACCGAUCACAGAUGCAUGUCACUUGUGGGUCUUUGUAAGUAAAGGAUGAUGGAUAAAUUUUUAUAUGCUUAUUGAUUCCCACAUGACAAACAAAAAAGAACAUAUCUUUGAUUUGAUGCACAUCCUUUCACGUUUUGUUAAUUAAAACAAAAGCUAAAGUAUAUUGCAAUUUUUUUUCCUAAGAAUUCUUGGCUCCUAAGAAUAGGAUGGUGUUUUUUUUUUUAAAAAAAAAAAGUUAAAAGCUGACAUGGGGGCAUGUUAGGCUCUUUCGGACAAUGCACGCGAUUGCAUACCGUUGAAAAAAAUUUGAUUCUAUCAUAUCAUUAAAUUUAUCUUUUACUCAUUUUUAUCUAUGUGAGACGCGUGUGCUCGUCAGAUUUAUAAUAAGUUGCAAUAUCUUUUAAUUUUUCUUCUCUUUUUUUUCUAGAAAAUUGUGCCUAGCCCCUCAUAUUUUAUAUUAGUCAUUCAAGUUCAUUUUCUUUUGAUUUUUUUCUUGAUUUUUUAAUAUUUACUUGUUUUAUUGAUUCAUUUCUCAAAAAAAAAUUUUUACAAUUGCAUCCUCCUUUAAUUUUUUUGUUAUUAUAUUUGGUCUUUAUUCUUUUGAUUUUGUUUUUUUUUUUUUACUUUUAUUUUGUUGAUCUAUUUGUUGUUGGUGUUUCAAAAUCCGCCCUUUUAAUUUUGAUUUUUAAUUUUAGUCAUUUUCUUUUUUGUGGAGUUUUAUUUGUUUUCAAUUUAAUUAUUUAAUUCUAAUUUGUAUAUAUAAUAUUUUUCGAUUUGGUCCUUUUGCUUUUAAUUUUUUUUCCUUGGCUCUUUUGUCAAGAUAUUUAUAGCUUUUUAUUUUAUCCUUCAAAUCAAGAUUAUGAUUUUUUUUUCAAUAAUAAUAAUAAUUUCAAUUUGAUCUUUCUUCUUUUGAUUUCUUAUUUGUUUCCUUUAUCCUAAAAUUUUUAUGAUUUUUGUUAUAAUAGUAAUAAUAGCAAUGGUGGUAGUAGUAAUAGUAAUAGUAGUGGUAGUAAUAAUACUAAUAGUGAUAAUUACAAUGAUUGUAAUAAAAAUAAUGUUAGUAAUAAUGAUAAUGAUACUAAUAAUAUUAAUAGUGAUAAUAAUGUUAAUAAUAGUAGUUUAUUAUGAUAAUAAUAAUGGUGAUGAUGAUAAUAAUUGUGAUAGUACAACGACGACGAUAACUAAAAUAAUAAUGUAUUAAUAGUAAUAAUGAAACCAAUAAUAAUAUUGAUAAUAAUUGUAGUAAUAAUAGUAGUUUUUUAUGAUAAUAAUAGUGGCAAUGAGAGUAAUAUUGUUUUAAUAAUAAUAAUAAUUGUGAUAAUAACAGUAUUAAUAUUACUAAUAGUAAUUGUAAUGGUACUAGUAAUAGCAGAAUGAAUAACAGUAAGAAAUGAUAACAUUAGUAGGAUAUUAUUAACAAUAAUGAUAAUAACAUCACAACUUCUAAUAAUAAUAAUAAUAGCAGUAAUAGCACUACUACUAAUAAUAAUAGUUUAUUAUGAUGAUUAUGGUGGUUAUGAUAUCAAUAAUUAUUGUAAUUAAAGUAAUAAUAGUAACAAUUGUAAUAAUAAUAUCAAUAACUCAAAAUAAUGUUAUCAGUGAUAAUUUUAAUAAUAAUACUAAUAAUAAAUAACAACAACAAUAACAACAACAACAACAAUAAUGCUAAUAAUAGUAGUAAUAGUAGUAGUAGUAACAAUAAUAAUAACUGUCGCACGUGUGCGGCGGCGCGGCGAUCGUCCACCCUCAAGGAAAAAUCGGAAUAUUUAUUCCUUGAAAAUAGGGAGAGACAAGGAAUUCUUGUCUCUACAAGUGAAAAUAUGGACUGGGAGUCGCCACCUAGUAUUCGGGUUACUAGGAACCUUAACUGGUCUUUAGAGAUCGGGUACGGAGACUGGUUGCGUAAAGGGAAGGUAUUAGCACCCCAACUACGCCCUACCUAAGGUAGGCUGCAUUGUUUUAAUGUCUGAUAAAAUCUAAGGUCGUGUUUGUGGUUUUUUUUUUGUUCGGAAUACGCAUUACAUGUAAUGUCAUACCCCAGGUCUUAUUGUAAAAAAAUGAAACAUCCGGAAUUUAAAUAUCUGGAAUAUGUAUUACGUAUAUAAUCCCGGAUAUUAGAAAAAAAAAAUAAAUAAAAUUUUAUUGUUUUUGAAAUUUUGGCCAAUGUUCUCUUGACUUUAAUAAACUGGUUAUUAAAGCCAAAAUGCAUGCUAAAAUAUUGUUUUUUUGACAUAUGAAAAAUACGAUAUGAUUUUGUAGAUUUGAGACACUUGGCCGUAUGCACAAAAACAUUUUUUCUCUUUUUUCAAUUUUUUUUAUUUUUGGAAGUUUUGCCGAAAACCAGGUAUUUUAAUAUCAGAUUUUUGUAUUUUUAACAACAUAAAAAAAAUACCACCAAAUAUUAAUCAAAAUGACAUAAAAAUUACACGGAAAAAUUAUAAAAUGCUGAAACAAAUAUUUUUGAUUUUUUUCUUUGAAAUGGGCCGGAUUAGGCCCAAAUAUAUGGGCUGGGCCGAACCUGGCCCAAAGCAUGGGCUGGUUACUGUGCACAUGCACAGUAACCAUGAAUUAAUUAGCGAGUUACUGUGCACAUCACAGUAACUCGCUAAUUAAUCUGCAUGCAGAACAAAAAAAAACGACGGGAAAGGCUACCUGCGGUGGUGAUGUUGGACUCUCUUCUCUGCUUCUUCUUCUUCUGCUUUCUUCUCUCUGUCUCUCCCUUCUCUUCUCUUCUCCUCUCUUUUUUUUUUUUUCGAUCCUCCCCUGUUUUUAUAGGCAAAAACAGGGGAGACGUCAUGGUGGUGGCCGCCGCCCCCUCCACUAUCGAUGGAUAAAAAGGAGGGCAAGUGGGUGAUUGCGGGCGUCUUAUUGCGCCAAAUCCGGGUGAAAGAAGUUAGGCAAAAGGAGAAGAAAAAAUCUUCUUCUUCCCCUGCCUCGCGCGUCCAGGGGAAGAAGAAGAGCUACAGUGCCGUCAAAACGGCACCGUUUUGGGCUUCUGUUUUUUUUUUUUUUUUUGCAACAGUGAAUGAAACGGCGUCGUUUCAUUUAAAUGGAUUUGGCGCCAAAACACGUCAGAUUCAAAUUUCGGCCCUCCAUUUGCGCGCGUUUUACAAUUAGUCCUUGGUCUCGGAUUUCUUCAAUUCAGUCCCUAAUUGGCCAUUAAACCUCAAUAUUUAUGCAAUUAAGCCCCUGAUUUGACCAAAUUAACUUCUAAAAAUUAUAAUUUGACCCCAGAAAAUUAAUUUCUCUAAUUAAAGCCCAAAUUAACUCCAAAAUCAAUUUUUCUUGCAAUUAAAAUCUUCAUAAAUGCAAUUAAACCUUCAAUAAAUUUAAUUGAGUCCAUAAACUUCUGAUUUUGCAUUUUUCUUUCCACAAAUUGAAUUUUCUUUAUCAUCGGGCUCUCAUCAGUCAAUGAUAUACUGUCAAAAAUAAUUUUUAUAUUUUUGAAAAUCCUUAAACAAUUUUUUGAGCAUUUUUAGGCGCUUGGCAUUUUUUCACUGUUUAUUUUUUGAUAAUAUAUUUUUUUAAUUUUUUGUAUUUUAUUAUUUUUUAUGUAGGGACCCAGAAAUGGGUUACAACAGUUGCCCCCCUCUUUACAAUGCUUACGGAGCAAAGAUUUGUGCAUAGUAAGUGUUGUAAAGAUAAAAUAAAAUUGGUCUUUCGAAACUGGUCGUCUCAAAAUUUGAUUGACCUAAAACUUCAACCAAACCCAAAGUCCUGUGUGUGGUUGGGCUAAAUUGAGAUUCCUUUCGCCAAAUCCCCUCUAACCAGAACCAAAAUCCUAUGUGUGGUUGGGAUAGACUGAGAUUCCUGUCGGCAAUCCCCUCUAACCAGAACCAAAAUCCUAUGUGUUCAAACCCUUUGUUUUUUUGGAAGAAAGAUGGUAUAUUUUCACGGGCGAGCUGCCCACACAUACUUAAGGUGGUCUAUUUUCAGGGGCGACCAGCCCACACACUCACGCUGACUUUGGUCUAUUUUCAUGGGCGACCUGCCCAAACAUAAAAGUAAAGAGUGGUCUCAUUGUAAUGGGUGACCUACCCAGAUAAAAAAAAUGUGAAGAAUUGGAUGGCGAGGGUUUAAAGGCACACUCGAAAAGAGGUAGGGUUAGAAAAACGCAUUACCAAAGGAGUUGAGGGCUCAAAGGCGCACUCCAAAGGAGGUGAGGGCUCAAAGGUGCACUCAAAAAGAGGUGAGGGCUCAAAGGCGCACUCAAGAUGGAGUUGAGGGCUCAAAGGCGCACUAAAUGGAGGUGAGGGCUCAAAGGCGCACUCUAAAUGGAGUUGAGGGCUCAAAGGCGCACUCAAAAUGGAGGUGAGGGCUCAAAGGCGCACUCAAAAGGAGGUAGGGUUAGAAAACGCACUACCAAAGGAUGAGGGCUCAAAGGCGCAAAUGGAGGUGAGGGCUCAAAGGCGCACUCAAAAGGAGGUAGGGUUAGAAAACGCACUACCAAAGGGAUGAGGGCUCAAAGGCGCGCUCAAAAUGGAGGUGAGGGCUCAAAGGCGCACUCAAAAGGAGGUAGGGUUAGAAAACACACUACCAAAGGGAUGAGGGCUCAAAGGCGCGCUCAAAAUGGAGGUGAGGGCUCAAAGGCGCACUCAAAAGGAGGUAGGGUUAGAAAACGCACUACAAAGGGAUGAGGGCUCAAAGGCGCGCUCAAAAAUGGAGGUGAGGGCUCAAAGGCGCACUCAAAAGGAGGUGAGGGCUCAAAGCGCACUCAAAGGAUUGAGGGCUCAAAAGGCGCACUCAAAAUGGAGGUGAGGGCUCAAAGGCGCACUCAAAAGGAGGUAGGGUUAGAAAACGCACUACCAAAGGGAUGAGGGCUCAAAGGCGCGCUCAAAAUGGAGGUGAGGCUCAAAGGCGCACUCAAAAGGAGGUGAGGGCUCAAAGGCGCACUCAAAAGGAGGUGAGGGCUCAAAGGCGCACUUAAAAGGAGGUAGGGUUAGAAAACGCACUACCAAAGGGAUGAGGGCUCAAAGGCUCGCUCAAAAUGGAGGUGAGGGCUCAAAGGCGCACUCAAAAGGAGGUGAGGGCUCAAAGGCGCACUCAAAAGGAGUUGAGGGCUAAAAGGCGCACUCAAAAUGGAGGUGAGGGCUCAAAGGCGCACUCAAAAGGAGGUAGGGUUAGCAAACGCACUACCAAAGGGAUGAGGGCUCAAAGGCGCGCUCAAAAUAGAGGUGAGGGUUACAUAUUGUGAUCUUGACCUUUGGGAAGGGUUUGAUGUCAUCAUACAUCUUUGUCCUUCACCCUUUAUCUCAAGAGUUACCAAUUUUGCCCGACACUUUCCUUAGAACAGGAAUCAUGGAGUCAGUCCUACCAUGUGUUUUUGAUUGCCCCCCAGCUUGAUCAUGCCCCCCAAGUGUUCAACUUGGGUUUAGUUUGGGGUGAGGAUAUGUGAAAGUAAAUUUGGGUUUUUUGUACAAUGAAAUGUUUUCAUGCAAAAUUUUUGGAACUUCCAAGUUAUUCCAAUCACAAAAAUGAUUUUGAUAUUAGUUCAAAAUAAACUUGUUCUAAAAAAUUCAAGUGAUUCCUAUGGACAGGUUUCUUGAAGUGAUGAAAGCUUUUUUUGCUUUUGGUUGAAGAUGAAGGUGACAUCUGGUUGGUCAUAAAAGGUUUAAAUGUCAAUUUGAGGGUUAUUGAGAACCGAAUUGAUUCAAAGCAUUUAUUUUAUUUGCAUGAAUAAUGAUUUGACUCGCACGAGAAAGCACUGCCUACCUAUCCAGAUUGCUUGCCUUUGAUCAGAAAGGGCUUUAUCAGGUAUGUAAUGUAGGCUUUGGCUAUUGAUUAUGAAGAAAAUGGAUAUGUUGCAGGCUCAAAAGGAGUUUAAGGGAUUUCAAGACUAGAGAUCACUUGUGCUUGUUUCCUGACCUUUUGUCUUUUGGAAUUGUUUGUUUUUCAAAAUGAUUUAUCCUGCCCCCCAGUGUCGGGUUUGGGCUUUUCUCUUUGUUUUCUUCGUUUUUGUUUGGUUGAGCACAAUCAUAUCAGUUGUUUUAUGAGAAGCUCAAAUCUUUUAGAUCCUUUAGAUCUUCUUCUUUUCUUUUCUUAACCAAUCACUGCUUCAUUUAGAUGAUAAUGAAAGAUUAAAAAUUACAUGAUCAAUCCAGCACCCAUCUUCACUGCUUUGUCUGGAUGGGUAAAAACUCUAUUAUUUUGCCCCCCAGUGUGGGGUGUGAUCCUAGUCAAGGUUAUUUCCAAAAAACAUUACUAGGCUCAAAAUGGGACUGCAACGGAUAUUUUUUAGCCUUGUGAAAGGAUUAUCAAAGAUGGCCUUUCCUCAUCUCAAACUCAUGCAUUGAGGAUCGAUAGGUCUUGCUUUCAUGCGCGUAUGCCAAAUGAUUUAUUCAGUCAAAUAAAACUCAGCUUUUGAGUCACCUCAUAGUGUUGUUUAUCUUUGUUGUCUUUUUUCUUUCAAGUUUUCUAGGUAUAUGUGUACCUAUUUAAGGAAUCACUUGAAUUUUCAAAAUGCAUUUGUUUUGGACAAAUAUCAACACGAUUUUUGUUUUUUUUUUUACUCACUUUGGAGGUCCCAAAAAAAUAUUCUUGAAAACAUAUGAGAUUAAUGUAUGGGUUUGGAAGAAAAAAGGAAUACCAAAGGAUUUUUCAUGUUGUAGUGUUGUGAGCAAAGUUGCGCUCAAAAUGUUAUUUACAUGUAAUAACAACAAAGAAGAGUGUGAUGUGAACACAAGAAAACACAUGAUCUUAUUUCACAAGAAAACUCAUUAACAGAGAAAGUCUUGUUCAAAAGCAUUAACAAAAGGCAAUAACAAGGCAGGCUUCAUUCCUCUAUUUUGGCGAAUUUGUUCAUCGGCUAACCUCCUCUCAAAAGCUCUGCAUAGAGGACUCAAAGACAAUGUAGAACAAACACCACGGUCCAAAGUUGAGUUCCACAAAAUUCAAGCUAUCAUGCUGGACCAUUGAUGCUUCCCAAUUCCCCAAACAUUCCAUUCUAAUCUGCUUCAAGCAUGAUUAGGCAACGGGUUUGUAUUCACAUUGGGGGCAUCUUUCAAUUCUAUCCACCCAGCCUUGAUUAAUUGCAGAAGCUUUCUCUUGAAGGCGUUGCAGGUAUAGAUGCUAUGCCCAGUAAUACGAGCAUGGUAUUCACAAUUGAGUUCUGGCUUGUACCAAUUACGAUAAGGUGGCUGCAGAGGUGUUGGAGGUUCUGGAGCUAUUUGCCCAAUGCUUAAUAGCUUUUGAUACAUCUCAUUCAGAGGUAAUGAUAGUGGAGGUAGUUGUUCUUAAACCCUUUGGAAAUUUCUAAUUUGGCUUUUGCCUUGAAAGUUUUGGGGUUCAGGUUUUUUGAUGUUGGCAAUUUGGAAUGGAGUAUGGUAAUUUUGGGAUGUAUUUGUUUUACCCAUGUAGCCAUCUUCAACAUGGUGAACCUCUUUUCUUUCGACGCCUCUUUUCUCGGUUGGUGCAGCAAUUCUACCACUCUUGACACCUUGCUCUAUGCGUUCACACACUAUCACAGCAUCAGUGAAUUGUUGGGCUGAACUACCCAUCAUAUGUUCGUAAUAUGGUGCUUUGAGUGUGUUGGCAAAUAAAGAGACCAUCUCUUUGUCCAGAAGUGGGGGAUGUACUUGAGCAGCUAAUUCUCGCCAUCUUUGAGCAUAUUCCCUUAUGCUUUCUUUAUCCUUUUUUCUAUAUUGGACAAACUGGUUCUGUCGGGCGCAAUGUCCAUGUUGUACUUGUAUUGCUUGACGAAAGCAUCCACAAGAUUUUUCCAGUUGCGAAUUUUUGUGUUAUCCAAUCUCAUGUACCAACUCAAAGUUGCCCCACUUAAACUGUCUUGGAAAAAGUGCAUUAGUAGUUUUUCAUCAUGUACUACCUCAGCCAUUUUAUUGCAGUAGGACCUGAGAUGAGUCAUGGGGCAUUGUGUUCCACUGUAUUUGAUGAAUUCAGGAACACGAAAUUUCUUUGGGACAACCACAUUUGGGACCAAACACAUCUCUGCUGCCCGUACCGGGUCAUAUAAGUCUAUCCCUUCAAUGGCUUUAAGUCUGGCUUCCAACGCCUCUAUCUUAGCUUGAUCAAUGCUAUCAGAUGACUUAGCCUUGUGGGACUCAUUAGCAGAUGCCUUCACGACUGUUGGGGAUGGUGCAGGUGUCGUUGACUGCACAAAUGUUGGAUUUUGCUGAGGUUCUUGACCAUGUUCGCUCAUUCUUUCCUCAGGCUGAACUGUAGUAGGAGCCGGAGCAAAGGUGAUCGGUUGAUUAGAAGGACCUUCAUCAGAGGUAUUUCUUAGUGUUUGCUUGAGUAAGCUAGUGAGGUGAGCCACACUUAUUUUCAGAGAUUCCAACUCGUCGUGCAAAUAGGCCUCACGUUGAGCACGCUCUUCAUCUUCCAUGUUUCUUGCUCGAAGUCGGGUGUUGUAGACUUUUUGGGGACCUAUAUUUCAAUCUGCCAUGUAUGCAUGUUAAAUGUAUGAACAUGUAAUUUAUGUGAUGCACUUGCCCUUCAAGGGGUGACAUGGUUUUAUUAUUAUUAUUAUUAUUAUUUUUUGUAUGACAUGUUCUGUAAAGAAAGAUAGCGCAUACAAACUAAAGACAGGGUCUAUUCAUGAAUAGGUUUUCUACCUGGUCUCAAAAGGGUCUCAUAUCUGCCCAGUGACGUCCUUCGUAAAGGCAGUAUGGGGGCGUUGCAAAGAACAGUUAAGGCACGUAUGCCCACCAUUACCAAGCAGGCUCUCAGAUAUGAGUUGGGUGUUUCACGCAUCUGAACCCGACCAAUAGUCAAGGGCAGAUCGUUAAUUCCCCACUUAACUUAGAAGCUUGUGUGUGCUUGAAAAAUAUAAAGCAUGUGAUGCAUGAGGCAGUUUUAUACAAUGCAUGAACAAAUAUGUACAAAAAUUAAAGCGCGUAAGAAAUAAAUAAAGAAAAUGCAUAUUUAAAAAUAAACACGCAAACCACAACAAAAAACACAAUAAAUCAGACAACAACAAAGCUUAGUCCACAAGGUCCCCAGUGGAGUCGCCAUUCUGUCGCACGUGUGCGGCGGCGCGGCGAUCGUCCACCCUCAAGGAAAAAUCGGAAUAUUUAUUCCUUGAAAAUAGGGAGAGACAAGGAAUUCUUGUCUCUACAAGUGAAAAUAUGGACUGGGAGUCGCCACCUAGUAUUCGGGUUACUAGGAACCUUAACUGGUCUUUAGAGAUCGGGUACGGAGACUGGUUGCGUAAAGGGAAGGUAUUAGCACCCCAACUACGCCCUACCUAAGGUAGGCUGCAUUGUUUUAAUGUCUGAUAAAAUCUAAGGUCGUGUUUGUGGUUUUUUUUUUUGUUCGGAAUACGCAUUACAUGUAAUGUCAUACCCCAGGUCUGAUUGUAAAAAAAUGAAACAUCCGGAAUUUAAAUAUCUGGAAUAUGUAUUACGUAUAAUGUCAUAUCCCGGAUAUUAAAAAAAAUAAAUAAAUAAAUAAAAUUUUUAUUGUUUUUGAAAUUUUGGCCAAUGUUCUCUUGACUUUAAUAAACUGGUUAUUAAAGCCAAAAUGCAUGCUAAAAUAUUGUUUUUUUGACAUAUGAAAAAUACGAUAUGAUUUUGUAGAUUUGAGACACUUGGCCGUAUGCACAAAAACAUUUUUUUCUCUUUUUUUCAAUUUUUUUUUAUUUUUGGAAGUUUUUGCCGAAAACCAGGUAUUUUAAUAUCAGAUUUUUGUAUUUUUAACAACAUAAAAAAAAUACCACCAAAUAUUAAUCAAAAUGACAUAAAAAUUACACGGAAAAAUUAUAAAAUGCUGAAACAAAUAUUUUUGAUUUUUUUCUUUGAAAUGGGCCGGAUUAGGCCCAAAUAUAUGGGCUGGGCUGAACCUGGCCCAAAGCAUGGGCUGGUUACUGUGCACAUGCACAGUAACCGUGAAUUAAUUAGCGAGUUACUGUGCACAUCACAGUAACUCGCUAAUUAAUCUGCAUGCAGAACAAAAAAAACGACGGGAAAGGCUACCUGCGGUGGUGAUGUUGGACUCUCUUCUCUGCUUCUUCUUCUUCUGCUUUCUUCUCUCUGUCUCUCCCUUCUCUUCUCUUCUCCUCUUUUUUUUUUUUUUUUUUCGAUCCUCCCCUGUUUUUAUAGGCAAAAACAGGGGAGACGUCAUGGUGGUGGCCGCCGCCCCCUCCACUAUCGAUCCAUGGAUAAAAAGGAGGCGGCAAGUGGGUGAUUGCGGGCGUCUUAUUGUGCCAAAUCCGGGUGAAAGAAGUUAGGCAAAAAGGGAGAAGAAAAAUCUUCUUCUUCCCCUGCCUCGCGCGUCCAGGGGAAGAAGAAGAGCUACAGUGCCGUCAAAACGGCACCGUUUUGGGCUUCUGUUUUUUUUUUUUUUUUUUGCAACAGUGAAUGAAACGGCAUCGUUUCAUUUAAAUGGAUUUGGCGCCAAAACACGUUAGAUUCAAAUUUCGGCCCUCCAUUUGCGCGCGUUUUACAAUUUAGUCCUUGGUCUCGGAUUUCUUCAAUUCAGUCCCUAAUUGACCAUUAAACCUCAAUAUUUAUGCAAUUAAGCCCCUGAUUUGACCAAAUUAACUUCCAAAAAUUAUAAUUUGACCCUAGAAAAUUAAUUUCUCCUAAUUAAAGCCCAAAUUAACUCCAAAAUCAAUUUUUCUUGCAAUUAAAAUCUUCAUAAAUGCAAUUAAACCUUUAAUAGAAUUUAAUUGAGUCCAUAAACUUCUGAUUUUGCAUUUUUCUUUCACAAAUUGAAUUUUCUUUAUCAUCGGGGUUCUUAUCAGUCAAUGAUAUACUGUCAAAAAAUAAUUUUUAUAUUUUUGAAAAUCCUUAAACAAUUUUUUUGAGCAUUUUUAGGGCGCUUUGGCAUUUUUUCACUGUUUUAUUUUUUGAUAAUAUAUUUUUUUUAAUUUUUUAUGUAGGGACCCAGAAAUGGGUUACAACAAUAACAACAACGAUAAUAACAAUGAUAAUAAUGAUAGUGAUUGUGAUCAUGAUAAUAAUAUUAAUAAUAAUGAUGACGAUAAUAAUGAUAAUGAUAUUACUUAUCAAUAAUGAUAGUAAUAGUGAUCAUUAUAAUAAUACUACUAAUAAUAAUGACGAUAAUAAUGAUGAUGAUAUUACUUCUUAAUAAUAAUAGUGAUAGUGAUCAUGAUAAUGAUAGUUGUAAUAAUAAUAAUAAUAAUAAUAAUAAUAGCAAUAAUGAUAAUAAUAAAUAUCGUAGGGGUCACGAUGUUGUCUGGCGAUGGCAGAGAGUCCGUGCCUCCUGUGUGAGAGGUGUGUUGUGUGUUGGGAAGUGUUUUUGGAUUAUGAUUAAUUUUUAGGAGUCACCACCUAGUAUUGUGAUCACUAGGAACCUAUGGUCUGUGAGAGUCUGAGUAAGGGACUGGUUGUGCAAGGGAAAAACGCAUUACCCCCAGUGCACCCUACCUAAGGUAAGCUGCAUUGUUGUUUGAUUGCUUUUUGUUGGUCUUUAUAAGGCUUAAGGUAGAUCUCUCUUCAUGAGAGAGUCUCUACUUUAUUGGGUUAAAUCCUAACCGUUCUAAAAUCUGAAUUUUAGCAUCAUAUUUAUUUACACCUUGUAUCUUUAAUACCUGAAGGUGUACUUUAUCGUGUAAUUUUACCCCACACAAAUAUUAAAGUCUACAUCUAGACCCUAAAAAAAAGAUUGGAGAUGGUUUUUUGACAUUUUAGCCAAAUCCUAAUGGAUAAUCAUAAACUAGUUACGAUAUCCAUUUUUUAUUUUUUUUAAAACAUGAAAGAGAUGCAAUUUUUUUUUUUUUUAUUUUUUAUGAAAAAUAUGCUUAAAAAAAAUUUUAGGAUUUGACUGUAUGCAAUAAAAUAUAUUUUUUCUUUUUGAAAAUGUUUUGAAUUUUUUUUUGAAAUAUUUCGGAGAAAAACCAGGUAUUUUAAUACCGGAUUUGUAUUUUACAAUGUAAAUAUACAACCCGAUAUUAUGCAAAAUGGAUAGAAAAAUAUUUGAGAAAAUCACAAAUUUUUAAAAUGAUUUUUGAAUUUUUUUGGGAUUUUUUUUAAAAGGGGGCUGGGCCAGAACUGGCCCGGCCCAAAGCCAUGUUAGUUAUUCUGCCGCUGCAUGCAGAAAUGAAUUCUGUUCUGGCCCAACCCAAAGCCAUGUUAAUUAUUCUGCCGCUGCAUAUUGAAAUGAAUUAUGCAUGUAGCGACUGCGAUAAAGGAGGAGGCAACGCGGGGAGGAGAAGCUAUUGUCACUGGCUUGGCGUGAAGAUGGCAGUGGCGCUGGUGGAAGAAAUGGUGGCGGGGUUGGCUGCUUGUGGCAGAGGAAGAAAGAAGAAGAAACAUAAGAAGAAAAUAUGCAGAGGGAGAGGGAAGACCUCGCGGUGACUGCUCUACCACUGGUGAACCGUUUGUUGGUACAAAAGCAAGGUUUAUGUGGUGCAGAUAAUGGUGGAGAAGAUGGUGGUGGCUCUGGUUAGUGGCUAGAACGGCGAGGAGAGAGAGACUGCAGAAAUGGGGCAGUGGGGGGCUGUUUUUUUGCCAAAUUUGGACUCGAUUUUCUCCUUCCUCAGAUCAUCAACGGAAGCCUCUAUUUAGAGACGGUGGAAGAGGGUAAUCUCGUCUUCACCGAGAUAAAAUUUUAGCCCUCGAUUAUCUUGGAAAGGAUCCUAACCGUUGGUUCAAAGUAGCCUUCUCGAGUUGUCAAAUCUGCAGGAAAAGGCUGCAUGAGUUGACCUCUCUAAUCAGGUCAUUCAUUCUGAACAAUUCACAUGGGGUUGUAGAGGAAUUGCAGGGGAUCCGUUUUGUGCAAGUUUGGUUCAAUUUGAUGGAGAAAUCAAGUAUUAACUGCACCUGCAAAGUAGGCUCCCACACUGUUUCUUUCGGAUAAAACGGGGAAGAUAAUGAACAGUGAUCAAACAAUGCGUCGUCUGGUCCCUUCUCUCUCUCUCUCUCUCUCUCUUUUCUUUAAGUAAAACGACGUCGUUUUGGACUGAAAUGGGGAUUUUUAUUGAAUUUCAAUUUAGUCCUCUGGCUUUCAAUUUGUUUUAAUUGAACUCCUAAUUGACCCUAAAUGUUUGAUUUAAUGCAAUUAAGCCCCCGAUGAACUUCAAUUGCAACCCCGUAUUUACACGCCUUUUGCAAUAUGGUCAUUGGUUUCGGAUUUUGUCAAUUUAACCCCUAAUUGACCAUUACAUUUUUAAUUUCUUCAAUUUAGCCCCCAAUUUUUGUCAAUUAAGUCCCUAAAGUGUGGCGCCUGUUGCAAUAUGGUCCUUAGUCUAAGAUUUUAUCAAUUUAACCCCUAAUUGACCCCAAAACUUCAAUUUUCUUGCAAUUUUGCCCUUGAUUUCAGUCAAUCAACUUGGUAAAAAUUAAAUUUGAUCUUUUAAAAUUUCAAUCUUCUCAAUUAAGCCCAAAUUAAACUCCCAAACUUAAGUUUUCACCAAUUAAGCCUCAAAUAAAAUUAAUUUGACCAAUUUAAAGUAUAAUUAAGUCCUUGUACUUAAUUAAAUUCUUCAAUUGGACCCAAAUUAAUUCUUAAACAUAAUUAAAAUUUAAUUUGGCCCAUGAUUAAAUCAAAUUGGCCUAUUAAAAUUUAAUUAUGUUCUUGGUCUUAAUUUUUCACUAAUUAAGCCCUAAAUAAAAUUAAUUUGACCCAUUUAAAGUAUAAUUAGGUCCUUACACUUAAUUAAAUCCUUUAAUUGAAUCAAAAUUAAUUCUCAAACAUAAUUAAAAUUCAAUUUUGCCCAUGAUUAAAUCAAAUUGGCCUAUUAAAAAUUUAAUUAUGCCAUUGGACUUAAUUUUUAUGCAAAUUCGUCUAAUAAUAAUUUAAUUUGACCUUAAAUUUGCAUUUUUUUUUCUCCAUUUUUGGGUAUAAUGGGGUACAAUUAAGCCUUGAAUUUCCUCCAAAAAAUUGCAACUUGAUUCCCCGGGCUACUUUCUCCAUAUUGCCAGUCUUUAUUUUAUUUUUUAAUUUUUAUUUUGAAUUUUUUUUUUAUUUUUAGGGAAUAAUCUAGAAUUAGGUUAUGACAAUAAAGAUGAUAAUAGUAACAAUGAUAGUAAUAAUUUAUCAUUCGAUGUUAGAUUAGCUGGGGAUUGAGUUUCACCAUUUUUUCAUGUACGAUAUUUUCAGUCUAAUAACAGGAGUUGGGAGUUUAAAAAGCUUAUGAGACCCAACACCCUCUUUUAUUUUUUGCCUUAUUGGUUUUCUUCAUAAUUUUAUCAUUCAACAUUGGUGUUUUUAAAUAAAAAAAUGAUCAUCUAGGUUUCCUUUGAAAUUAUUAAAUAAAUCAAUUCACAUCAAGUUAACUAUUAUAUAGUUUAGGUGUUGAGCCUGACAUCUUAGCAGACUCAUAAGUGCUUGGGUUUAGCGCGUAGCCGAGUCCAAUAGGGUUAGGUCUAACACUUAACUAGAUCUCCUAGCACUUGGUUUUAAUACGUAGUUAAGUCCAAUAUAAUUGGGUCUAAUAUCUUAAUAGACUCAUUAGUGCUUGAACUCAAUGCGCAACCAAGCUCUAUAGAGUAUUUGGAUUUGGAGGUGUAGGUUAAGGCCUUUCAAGAAAAAGGAAUUUGUGUAAAAUAUGUUAGUAGAACAUAUAAUAAAAACAAAAAAGGACAAUGUCAUCCUACUAUGAGCGAGUCAGAGUAAAGGUUAGUAUGAAAAUAGAAAAAAAGAUGAAGAUAUAAUUAAACUUAAAUAAAUGGAUAUAAAAUGAAAUAACCAUAUUUUGUAGGGGUUUAAAAACAUGUUGGGGGUGGGGGGCUCCGCCUGCACAGAUAAUUAAAGUAAGAGUCUAAGUGGGUGAUGGAUGCAAGGACCGUUGGAAUAAUAUUCUAUACAUUCAUAAUUGAUGGUUCAUUUAGGAAAUAUAUCAUCUAUCAUCGUUUGUAACUAGUCUAUUUACUCGUGUAAUGUUUUGGUUCAUAUAAAAAACUAGCUAUUUCUUAAAAAAUUAAAAUUAGCUAGAAGAAAAUUUUGUAUUGUAAACAAAACAGUUAAUGUAUAUUUAAUUAAAUAAAUUGGUAAUACUACUAAAUAAAAUUCACAAGUUGGAUUAUAUAACUCUAAUUUGAUUUACAAACGAAUUUAUAUUGGCUUUUUUUUAACGACUCUCUUUGGCUAUUUGCUAGUUUUUGAAUAAUGGAGAGAUGGUAGAGAUUUUUUAAUCUAAAAUUUUAUUUUUAAAUAUAUUUCACCUAAAAAUACAUUAUAAAUAUUUUUAUAAUGUUAAUGAAUUAAUUUUAAAUUGAUCUAAAAAACAAAAUCAAACUAGAAAAAAAUUCUUUUUCAACCCAACCUACUUCUCCAGACUCCAUAAAAGCGUAAAAACACAAUAAGACGUGUUGACAACUAAUAUUUUUCCUUUUUCUUUACCGUUCAUCCAUGAGUUUCUCUCCUCACUCAAAUUCACGUAUUGAAAAAAGUUCAAAAUAAAUUCUUGAACCAAAACUAAGCCUGAAAAAGUUAAAGGGUCCAAUCCAAAAAAAUAAAGGGAAAUAGGUGGGCUGCAAAAAUGCUGCUUUUGAGACCGACGACGUGGUUUUCACAUGAUUUACUGCAAGUUUUCAUGGCAACGUGUUUAUAAUCGUUUUUUAAAUAAUUUUUUAUAUUAAAAUAUAUGUUAAUAAUAUUUUUUUAAUAAAAAAAAAAUUAUUUUAAACAUUAAUAUAUUAAAAUGUUUUAAAAACAUUAAAAAUAUAUUAAUUUAAAAUUAAUAAAAAAUUAAAAAUAUUUUUAAAACAUAAAAAUAAAAAUAAAAGGAUAUAUAAUUUUAAUCAAUGGUGCGGUCUAGUCAGGGUUCAACUACCAUAUAAAAUACACAGCUGGAAAUCACUUUACACUAUUCUAACUCUAUCGCCAAAGCAUCUCACAUACUUUUGCAUCAACUUGGCAUUAAAAUAUUCUUAAUAUUACCAGCUUACUAAGGAUCAGCUGAGGUGCAUGUUUCACUCUUACCUGCUGCUGUAUUAAUGGUAGAAAUUAUAUCAUGGUGUUCUUGGUCUGCAAAUUAAUCACUGUCUUUUACACGACAACACAGAGGUAUUUGUCGUCACUGAGGGUAUAAAUAUCAUUUUAUAUAUCAAUCUUAAUUAAAAAAAACACACACAGUAACAACAAAAGAAUCUAUGGUUAUAUCAGAACAAAUAUGAAGGUAAGCUUUCUCUCCCAAGCCAUUCCUCCAUGCCAAACGUACUUGAAAUUGGACGAUGGUGUCAUGUUUACGAGGGACAGAUGAAAAGCUAUAGAAAAGGAAAAUCACAACAAUAUAUGCAAAAGCUUACUCAAGCGCUUUGUUCUUCUCACUUUAUGUAUUUUUGAAAGCGACAACUGAAUCUAUAUCUGCCUAAAACCCUAACAUUUUCAUCUCUUCAACUUUCAAUCUUAAAUCUUCUUCGGAGGGUGUCUUGCCACCAUCCUUCAAGGUUGCACGCCACCAUGCCAUUAGCUCACCCUGCAGAAUACAGGAGCCAGGCUUAACCGCCACUUUCAAGAGUAAAAAAAUGAGAGCAACAUAUGAGUAGGAUCACUUUCUUUCUCAGGUACAAGGAUAACUCAAAUUGUCUUCAUGAAGAGACUCCACCAAGCAAAUGCAGAUUCAGUCAUAUAAAUCAUCAAUGAAGGAGACUUCAAUGCAACAUGAAUCAAGAUUUGGAGUGUAAAAUAGGGAAUAUAGAAGAAAGAUCAUAAGACCAUAUUCUGAUGAGUAGUGAUCCUUGAAUGAGAAAAGGGCUACUUGACCGAGGCCAACUAAUCGUGCAUUCAAAACAUACAAACAUGAUUCAACAGGGGAAAAAAGGCUGUAAAUAGCCAGAUUAAUUAUAUGUAGUCCAUGAAUAAAGAUAUCAAGCUCGCAGAUUCAGCUGGAAAUUUAUACAUCUAAGAUUGAAAUUUAAAUUGCUAGAUUAUAUAGAACAUGAAUUCGUUUUCAGAGUCGGGCUUUUACCUCGGUGAAAUCGUGGUUGGAGAUGUAUUGACUCUUAACUAAACAUUUGACGCCACCUACAAUUACAGCAAUAGAAUUUUUGAACUUUUGUUUUGAACUCUGACUUUGAACUCCUGUAUGAUCAAAAGAAAGAACAGGGGAAAAAGGGGAGGGGGUGAGUCGUCAACAGAAACGGAAGCUAAUUAAUGACAACCAUGCAACUCGUCCAUCUAUCAUAGAUAGGAGACAUGGUAAACAAUUUUGGCUUACCAGUAAUGCAGGCUACAUAAUACCCAGUUCCACCCAAUCCCUGUUCCCACUUCCCAAGCCGCAAGCGCAGGAAAAAGCCAUCAAGAUGUGAUGGUGGUGUAUGCGAAUUCAUCCAUCUGGUGCCAAUGCAUGCAACAUAGAAAAUAUCAAUAAAAGGAUAAAAACUUUUACGACAAUAAUUUCUAGAAAAGAAAAAUUCAAGCUUUGAUGAAUGUUACAGAUAAAACCAAGGUUAUUCCCUGAAAGUAGUUUUGAGUUUUAGUUCAUAUUGGUGUUGAUAAGUAGGACUAUCAAGGGAGAGAAUCAUAAAUGAGAAAGCAGGACUAGAUUUAUAAUUAUCUUGUAAUUGAGUUUUUCUAGAAUGACCAGCGAUUGCCUUCAAUUGCAGUGUAGCUGAUGUAAUAGUGCAGUUAUCAUAAAAAAGCCACAAACACAUUAUUACAUAUUUGCUUCUCUAUGUUCAAAUUUUGCAUGGAGGUAUGCCAAAAGAAGACAGGAGACCCAAAAAGAGCUACUAAAAUUUACCCCCCAUUGAUAUUGACGAUGAAGUACAUUAAUUACAGCCGUAAGAUAGAUAUGCAGAGAGCUAUCCGAGCUAUCCUUGGAAUUAAUUUUCCUAGAAGGUCACUCAGAUUUCACUUCGAGUUCAAAAAAUUUCGAAGUUAUGGAGAAGAAGAAAAAAGGUCAUCCUUCAGUGGUCCUGAACACUACAGACAGAUUACAGUUUGAUCUGCAUCAGAAGGUAACACGGUUAUCCAAAUGCCAUCUUCUUGCCAGAAGGGUAGACUCUCUACCAUAAAACCAUGUUGCAGAAACAAGCUUGUAAGAUAUGCAAAAGACAAAUGGAAAAGAACUGACUUCGAGGUGGGAGGCAAAUGCCAAAAUCACGAGCCAAAGUAUAUGAGGAUAAAGUAACAGAAGAUGAUUUGAAUGAAUAAGCAUGGACAUACCAAUAUUAAGCCAGAUGUUCAAGCCAAUGCAUUUCAAAAUUAGCAGCUCACGAAUUUUCUGGUUCAAAUUUGUCAUCCUCGGUUCAUAUUUAGGAAAAUGAGGCUUUAAUGUCCUUACCAGAAGUUUAUUAGAUUUUCUAUGCAAUCAAAAAACUUGCCACCUUGGACUUGGUUUAUCUAGUAGAGAAAAUAAAUGUUAGCAAUCAAUGACAAAGAAUAACAAUGCAGCAGCCAGAACGUUUAAGGGGUGAAUCUCUUACGUAACCAGUCACAUACUAUAGUAUCUAUGUUGACCAGUUAGGGUUUCUAAUGACCAUAAUACUAGGUGGCGACUCUUUAAAUAAGAAUAUUCUCCAUCAAAGAAUAGGAUGCUAGAAAUCCAUUCUUCCCAAAGAUUUAAUAAUUUUUAAAGCCUCUGCGAUGUCGUGUGCGACAAAUAUUAUUUGAAAUAAAAAAAACUUGUUAGGGAGUGCGUAAUAAGCGCCAACAUUUGGACAACUCCUGUGGGAUUGUCCGACCAUGAAACACUACCUUUUGAGGUGGCGUUUAGAAGGUCUCGGCACCUCCUACAUGAUGGGGUGGCGCAUGGCCUAGAAGUGCCUUUAGUUUGUUGUCAAUGACUUUUUUUUUCUUGUUGUUUUUUUCUCCUCUCCUCAUAUUAAACACCAUCCCAUUCAAAAAUUCAGAUUAACUCCUUGAAUUUCUUUUUCCUUUACAUUUGGUCUAUGUAUUUUUUACUAUAUUUGUUUUUAUCAUAUAUAAGCCAUUAAAUUACAAAUAUUUUUCAAUCCCCCCUAUUUUUAUUUUUUAAUCUUUAAAAUUUGAUCCUUAUUUUUUAUAUUGUUGUUUUUUAUUUUCAAUCAUCUAUAAAAUUAUUAUUUUUUCAAUUUCACCCUUUUUUAUUUUUUUUCUUUUAAAUUUGGUUAUCAUUCUUUUGAUUGCUAUUUAUUUUUGUUUGGGAUCAUUUUUUAGUUUUUUUUUUACAAUUUCAUCAUCCAUGAUUUUUUUUUCUUAUCAAAUUUACUCUUUAAUUUUUCUAUUGCUAUCUUUUAUCAUUUGAUGAAUUUUUUCAACUCAUAUUGUUUUUACAAUUUCAUCAUUCAAAAUUAAAUUGGUUGAUAAUUGAGCUUCUUGAUUGAACAUGUUUUAAGGAUUUCAUGGAUUGUGAGUUUUAGAUAUGAGACCGGGUUUAGAAGGUUUGCCGGAGUUUAUUUGUUUUUAUUUUUUCAUUUUUUUCAAACAUAAUGGUUUUUAUUCUGCACCCUAUUUUUAGAGUUUUGCUUUAUUAUUAUUUUUAUGUUUUGUCUUUCAUGGAAUUAGUCUCAUGUCUAUGACUAUAGUAACUAGUUUAAGAAGUUGACAUGAGUUAACUUUUGAUUUUUUAGGUUUUUUUAAAAUUGAUUUAUUUCAAUUUCAUCAUUUAACAUCUAACUCAUUUUAAAUUAGUCUUCCUAUAUAUUUUUUACUGGGUUAUAUCAAUCUAAUGCUCAUGGUCGCGGGGUUGGCAAGUUGACUCAGGUUGAUUCAUUUUUUUUGUUGCUACAAGGUUGGUCUAGGUCCAUGACCAAAAUCACUGGUUUCAAAGGUGAACGUGAAUUGACUUUUUUAUUAUCCUUUUUAAAAUUGAUUUACUUCAAUUCCACCCUUCAAUAUAUGAUUUGCUGGAAAUUGAUCUUUGUACUUUUUUUUUGUUUCCUUUAUGUUGGAUUAUCCUUGAUCUUGUGUCCAUGGUUGCGGGUUUUGAAGGUUAAUCCAAAUCAACUCAUAUUUUUUCCAUUGCUUUUUUAAAUUAAAUUAAAUUUUGUUUUUGUUUUUGUCAUUUAACAUCGAGUUGUUCGAUAAUCGAGCUUCAUGUAUUUAUUAUUGACUUUCAAACCUUUUCUCUUAUGUUUAUUUUGAUGAGAUUGUUCUCACCUUAUAUUCAUGAUCGUUAAGUUAGCGAGUUAACUUAAUUUAAUUGAUUUUUUUUAUUUUAUACUAUAACAUUGAGUUGUUUCAAAAUCCAAGUAGACUUGGAGUGGAUUUUUUUAACUUUUUUUUAAUUCUUGUAUGUUUUUUUGUUAUUAUAAUUUUUUUUUUAAUAUUAUUUUUUUACAUUGAAAAAAGUUUUAUUCGACCCGCAUAGUUUCUCACUAUUUUUUCCCAAUUCACCUCAACAAAACAUUUAUUUACCGUGCGUGCUUCGAUGACUCUCAAUCCAAUGGCUCACCCUCCACAAAAAGUUUUAUUAAAGAGAACAAUCACGUCAAUUCUCUCUCCACCAUUUACAUAGCCCACUUCCCCAAAUUCACUUUUCACUUUAAAACUACAUCAUUCACCGUAGAUAAUGUCCAAUCCAACGGCAAACUUUAAAUCAUUCCCCUCCUGCGGAUAUCAAUUCGCGUCCGCCUCAAGUCAAUCUCCACCUAUUGCAGCUCCUCUGGUCUCAUAAAUGAGGUAAGGAUAUUGAUUGCGUAAAAAAAAAGUUAUUAACACUUUAAAUACACUCUUUAAGAUAGGUUGUAUUGUUUUAAUAUCCAAUAAAAUUUAAGGUAUAAUUGUGGUUUUUAAUAGUUGAUUCUAUCUGUCUAAGAUUUAAGAAAAUCACUUCUUUGUAAUGAUGUUUUUAUCUUAAUGGGAUAAAACACAACCGUUCUAGCGUUUAAAAAAAAAAUUAAUAUCCAAAAUACGUAUUACGUGUAAUGUCGUAUCUUAGAUAUUAAAAGUCAAACAAAAUAAAUUUUUUAUUGUUUUUAAAAAUUUUAGUCAAUGUUCUCUUGACUUUAAUAAACUGGUUAUUAAAGCCAAAAUGCAUGCUAAAACAUUGUUUUUUGGUGUAUGAAAAAUACAAUGUGAUUUUUUAGCUUAGGAACAAUUGACUGUAUGCACAAAAACAUUUUUUAAAAUACUUUUUUGCAUUUUGAAAGUUUUUAUGAGAACCGUGUAUUUUAAUACCGGAUUUGUAUUUUUACAGUAUAAAAAUACAAAUCAAUAUUCAGUAAAAAUUAGUAGAAAAAUACAUGGAAAAAUUACAAUUUAAAAAACAAGAAAUUUUUACUUUUUACUCUUUUUUUUGUCGGACCCUGCUAUUUGGGUUAGGCUGGGCCCAACCAUUCAGGUUGGCCCGAAAUUGGUCCAGCCAUGAAUAGUGGAGAUUGGUAGCGAAGGAGAAGAAGGAAGAAGAGAAGACUGACUUGUGGUGGCAUCGAGGCGGUGUUGCUGGCGGUGGUGGUUGCAACGGCGCUACUAGUGAUGGCUGGGGGCGGCGGUGGGCGGCGAUGUUGCUCCUUCUCCCUCUUCUGUUUUGUCCUCUCUUUUUUUCUUUCUUUUCCUUUCCUUUUCUCUCUUCUCUCUUCGUUGUUCUCUCUUUCGGUCUUCCCCCCUCUCUUCUUCAUGUUUUUUUUCCUUUCUGUUCUUCUUUUUUGCUCUCUCUUCCCCUGUUUUUUAAAAGAGGACAGUUGUCACCCCUCUACUGCCCCUCCAACACGUGGAAAGUUGUGGGCAAGUUGGGGUGGUGUCGGUGUCUUUUUGAAAAGGAGUCGGCAUCUUUUUGAAGAGAGAGAUGGCGGUGACAGAGGAAGAAAAGUUUUCUUUUUCUCUUGCUUCGCGCAUCUAGGGGAAGAAGAAAACCCACAGUGUCGUUCAAAAGGGCACCGUUUGGAUCUUUUUUUUUAAAUAGUGCAUGAAACGGCGUCGUUUUGGGCAAAACGCGCCGUUUCAUUUAAAUAAAAACGACGACAAACUUAUGGGAAAGUACAAAUCAGUCCUCGAUUUAUGAUUUGUUCAAUCGAGUCCUCAAUUGCAAUUGUGAUUUUAAAAAUUAAUUCAAUUGCAUCCUUACCAAAUUCAAUUGCCGGCCUUAAAGGUGGUUGCCUUUUCCAAAUCGGUUCUUGGUCUUGAAUUUAUGCAAUUUGACCCUCAAUUGAGCAAUAAACUUUUAAUUUCUUCAAUUUGGCCCCUGGUUUGGUUUAAUUACAACUACUCUAUUUACGUGUGUUUUUUAUUUUGGUCUUUGGUUUUAGAUUUCUUCAACUAAGCCCCUAAUUGACCAUCAAACUUUAAUAUUUAUGCAAUUAAGCCCCUUAUUUGACCAAAUUAACUCUAAAAAAUUAUAAAUUGACCUCGAAACUUUAAUUUCUUCCAAUUAAAACCCAAAUUAACUCCAAAAUCACUUUUCCUUGCAAUCAAACCCUUCAUAAAUUCAAUUAAACCGUCAAUAAAAUUUAAUUGAGUCCAUAAAAUUUGAUUUUAGACUUUUAUUUCUCAAAUUGAAUUUUCUUUUCAACAAGGCUCUUAUCGGUCAACAAAAUACUGUCAAAUUUUAAUAUUUGUAUUUUUGAACCUUCUCAACCAAUUUUAAACCAUGUUUUGAGUGUUAUGCCAUCCUUUUUUUAUUGUUAUAUUUUUUUAUAAUAUUUGUUUUUUUAUUUUUUUGUAUUUUAUUUUAUUUUUUUAAGAGAGAAAAAUAUAAAUAGGAGAAAAACUCAACAAUAGGUUAUGACACGGUAAUCAAUCAAUUAAUCAUAAAACAGCUUAUAUACUAAUCAAAUGACACGUCGUUUCAUACUGUAAUGUUAUUUUUGGGAUUUUGAUGUCUGCAGAUGGUCAAGGAGGCGAUUGUGGCUUUGAAGGGAAGGAGUGGAUCGAGCCAGAUUGCAAUUGCUAAGUUCAUCGAAGAGAAGCACAAGUCCAACCUCCCCACCAAUUUCAAGAAACUGAUGCUUGUUCAAUUGAAGAAACUUGUUGCUAAUGGCAAGCUAGUUAAGGUCAAGAACUCCUUCAAGCUCCCUCCUAAAUCUUCCGCUAAGGAUGCUGCUUCUGUGAAGAAAGCGGCUCCAGCGAAGCCCAAGGCCGAGGCUAAGCCUAAGCCGGAAAAGGCUGCGAAGGCAGAGGCUGUAAAGUCUCCAGCGAAGAAAGCUGUUGUUGCGGCUAAAAAUAAGACUCUGGCGAAAAAGGCUUGAAGAAACCCAAGAGUAUUAAGUCGCAAUAAAGAGGGUGUUUGGCAUUAUUGCGGUGGAAAAAUGCUUUUCAAAAAAUUUGAAUUUUUUUUUUUUACUAGGAAUGAAUAUGUUUUUGAUAUUUUCAAAUUAUUUUGAUGUGUUGAUUUCAAAAAUAAUUUUUAAAAAAUAAAAUAAUAUUAUUGAUAUAUUUUUUUGAGUGAAAAGCACAUUCCCAAACACGCUGAACCACAUUCCCAACCACGCUGAAGACCGAGAAGUGAAAGCUGUUUGUGUGGAUAAAAUGACUUGUAAAUUGAGGGUUAUUUGGGUAUAGAAUUGCUUGAUUUUUUUAGGAGAAAUAAUUUCAAUGUAAUUCAACUUAUAUUUGAAAGCAAAUUGUUUGUUUUAGUGAAUAUUUGGUAUUGGCGUGGUUAAUAUUUUUUGAAAAUGUUUUUUUAUUUAAAAAUAUAUAUUUAAAAUUUUUAACAUCAUUACUACCCGAAAUUAGAAAACCAAAUAAAUAUACUUUUAGAAUUUAUAUAAACAUAGGUUAAAUUUCAUGAAAAGAGUAAAAUAAUUCAAAGUUAAUAGCAUAGCAUUAUUUAUCAAAUAAAUAUUAGAAAAUAAUAUAAAUCAUAUUCUAAGAAUUUACCUAAUAAAUUAAACUAUUGGUUGAGAUGAUUUUUUGACAUAAUAUUAGAGUCUUGAUGACUAACCGGUCACGAGUUUGAAUCUUAUCAUCUCUAUUUAUUUAAUAAAAAUUAAAUAUAAAGUAAUGUAAAUAUACACAAGUUUUAACUUCAAAUGAAGAAAGAUGUUUUUAUUUGACAAGAAAUGAAUUCAUGAACAUGUCGGUGAUUGCAAUAAAGUGUUUGAGCUCCAAUUGAGCAGCGGGCCUGGAAGGAUCCAUGACGAUGUCAUUCCAAAAAGAGCCCGGCUCGAAAAUGGGGCUUGGGUCUGUGUAAAGCUCGUAGAUGGAUUCUGCUUCAGCCCUCAAAUUGCUUGCAUUUGUCAAGCAUUUGUACCCCUCUGGAUCAACCAGGAGCUUGUUGUCCCCAUCUUUCCAUGCUAUCAGCUGCAUUCAUUUUGUGCCAAUCAAAAAGUCAGUGUAUAAGAAAAAUGCAGUCCCUACUUGUCUUUUGAAUCGAUACCAGUACGGAAAUCUACAGGCAAGAAUUAAGAUAACUGCUGCUAGUUCUGAGCUACGAGGUAUGGAAGGUGGGGCUAAUUUCCGUACAUAAUGCAGCGUGUUCGAGGUCCAUUUCUUGUCGAGGCCUCGAGAUACAGAAUAGUGCAUCCAGU
rnacentral:lncRNA from 1 species